ACUGAUCCAGUAGUUACAUUUGCAAUGUAAGCUCAAAAAUAUGUUUAUUUACGACAUCACAUCAGAAACCUCUAAAAUUAUUAGUGUUUCUCUGUUAUAUUGUGCGUGUAUUAUACACAUAACCUUUUCUCUUAAAUCAAUCUAUCUAUUAUAAAAAC